rnacentral:lncRNA from 1 species
AUCACUUGGAGUUUUAUAAUAUUUUUGCAAAGAAAAACUUAGCUUACCCUUCUCCAUCUUGUAGCACACUCGAAUCACUCAUUAUAGGUGGUAUUUGUGGAACUCACCAAAGCAUAUGUGCAUCAUAUGUAUCCUACUCUAUACAGGCUUAUAUGGAGUUAAAGGUAAUUCAAGGAAAUAGCAUACUUACCUUGCAUAUUUUGCUAAGUCAAAACUCAGAUCCAUGGAGGGGAAUAGCAUACUCUUAGAUCAAGAAGUGCAUGUGUGUGGAAU